rnacentral:rRNA from 1 species
GCUGAGAUGCGAAAGCGUGGGGAGCAAACAGGAUUAGAUACCCUGGUAGUCCACGCCCUAAACGAUGUACACUAGUUGUUGUGAGACUAGAUCUUGCAGUAAUGCAGUUAACACAUUAAGUGUACCGCCUGGGGAGUACGGUCGCAAGAUUAAAACUCAAAGGAAUAGACGGGGACCCGCACAAGCGGUGGAGCAUGUGGUUUAAUUCGACGAUACACGAAGAACCUUACCUGGACUUGACAUAGUAAGAACUUUCUAGAGAUAGAUUGGUGUCUGCUUGCAGAAACUUAUAUACAGGUGCUGCACGGCUGUCGUCAGCUCGUGUCGUGAGAUGUUGGGUUAAGUCCCGCAACGAGCGCAACCCUCGUGUUUAGUUGCUAACAGUUCGGCUGAGAACUCUAAACAGACUGCCUACGCAAGUAGGAGGAAGGUGAUGACGACGUCAAGUCAUCAUGGCCCUUACGUCCAGGGCUACACACGUGCUACAAUGGGAUAUACAAAGAGCGGCAAUACGGUGACGUGGAGCAAAUCUUAUAAAAUAUCUCCCAGUUCGGAUUGUAGUCUGC